rnacentral:lncRNA from 1 species
UUUUUUGUCAUGAUGGAGUUUUUCAGCUUGCUCGGCGUCCUGCCUCUGAUGCCCUCCAGAUGCAUCCCUGGGGACCGCGGCUCAUGGGCCCCACGGAGGCAGGAGGAACUGACCUCGCCAAACCCUAGCCAGGCUGUCACCUGGCCCAGACCGCCUUGGUCUGGAUGUCUGCCGCAGCCUAGGCUCUGCUCGCCACUCUAAACACAAGUGGCCACAUACCAUCUGAUUCCACUUACAUGAAAUGUCCAGAAAGGGCAAAUCCAUAGGGACAGAAAGUAGACUGGUGGUUGUGAGAGGCUGAGAGAGGAGGUAGGUGAGGGGGAAAUGGGAGUGACUGAUUCAUGAGUACUGGGCUUCUUUUGGGGCCAUGCAAAUAUUCUAAACUGGAUGGUGAUGGUUACACAAUUCUGUGAACAGACUAAAAAUCAUGGAGAACUCUACUAAGGACUCUUCUUCAGAGGGGUGAAUUGUAGGGUAUGUGAAUCAUAUCUCAGUAAAGCUGCUGCAAAGCAAGUAGAGAGAGAGGAGAGAAGUAGGAGAGGCUGGCGGCCCCAGGAGUAGGGCUCAGGAACCAGCUACGGAGGCUGGGAGGCGGGGCCAGAGCCAGACGGAGGCACAACCAACUGCAGGCAGCUUGGACAACCCUGAGGGCGCUUCCAGCUGAACUGUGGAGUGUUUGGCAGAAGCAGGAGCAGGGGGCCAAGCUUCUGGUGAUGGCCUGGGCCCUAGACACCCCCUCCCCUAACAAAACCCAUAAAGGAGUGACUGGGAGAGAAGGCAUAGUCAGGAGCAUCACUCCCACGCCUGGCCUCCCCACCACCAAGCCCGCCUGGCCUCCCCAGCAUGAAGCCCACAGGCACGGCACACUAGCAACCACCCAGAAUGACUCACACCUUCCUGUGACAUUGUCCAAUAUGAACUGCCCAGGAUCUUGAAGCACCGAGCACUGGGAUAUCCCUGUGUCCCCAGGAACUGUACUCUGCAUUUUCAAACAGAACAUUUUCAUAUGUUGAUGGCCACUCUUUUCCCUGACUGGCCAUCUGAGAAACUGAGCAGAGGUGAGGUUACGGCACCCCCCAAAGGUGACCAGAGAAGCUCACCAUUGACAGCCCAGGGGAGCCCUUUUGGGCCCGACACAGAGUGUCACCCUCUGAAGCUGUCACAGAAUCAGAGACUAGGGCUCUGUCACCUCACACCUCGGGAACACUGCAGGGGUGCUCUGCAGCACCAUGUAGUAACAUGUGUCAGAAUUCCUUUUU